rnacentral:rRNA from 1 species
UACGGGGGGGGCAAGCGUUGUUCGGAAUUACUGGGCGUAAAGGGCGCGUAGGCGGCCUGCUAAGUCACACGUGAAAUCCCUCGGCUCAACCGGGGAACUGCGUGUGAUACUGGCGGGCUUGAAUUCGGGAGAGGGAUGUGGAAUUCCAGGUGUAGCGGUGAAAUGCGUAGAUAUCAGGAGGAACAUCGGUGGUGUAGACGGCUUUCUGGACCGUAACUGACGCUGAGACACGAAAGCGUGGGUAGCAAACAGG